CCUCUAGGUGAAGAUGAACUUGUGUCCUAUGUUCUCACCGGCCUUGAUGCAGAUUACACGCCCAUCGUCGCCUCCCUCACUUCUCGACGUGAGCCGGUAACCUACAAUGAACUCUUGUCUCAGAUUCAGAGUUUUGAGA